rnacentral:rRNA from 1 species
CAGCACCUCAAGUGGUCAGGAUGAUUAUUGGGCCUAAAGCAUCCGUAGCCGGCUCUGUAAGUUUUCGGUUAAAUCUGUACGCUCAACGUACAGGCUGCCGGGAAUACUGCAGAGCUAGGGAGUGGGAGAGGUAGACGGUACUCGGUAGGAAGGGGUAAAAUCCUUUGAUCUAUUGAUGACCACCUGUGGCGAAGGCGGUCUACCAGAACACGUCCGACGGUGAGGGAUGAAAGCUGGGGGAGCGAACCGGAUUAGAGACCCGCGUAGUCC